UACAGAGGUGGCAAGCGUUGUUCGGAAUUACUGGGCGUAAAGGGCGCGUAGGCGGCCUUCUAAGUCAGACGUGAAAUCCCUCGGCUUAACCUGGGAACUGCGUCUGAUACUGGGAGGCUAGAGUAUGGGAGAGGGAUGUAGAAUUCCAGGUGUAGCGGUGAAAUGCGUAGAUAUCUGGAGGAAUACCGGUGGCGAAGGCGGCAUCCUGGACCAUUACUGACGCUGAGGCGCGAAAGCUAGGGGAGCAAACGGG
rnacentral:rRNA from 1 species